rnacentral:misc_RNA from 1 species
GUAACAAGGUUUCCGUAGGUGAACCUGCGGAAGGAUCAUUACCUAGAGUUGUAGGCUUUGCCUGCUAUCUCUUACCCAUGUCUUUUAAGUACCUUCGUUUCCUCGGCGGGUUCGCCCGCCGAUUGGACAAUUUAAACCAUUUGCAGUUGCAAUCAGCGUCUGAAAAAACUUAAUAGUUACAACUUUCAACAACGGAUCUCUUGGUUCUGGCAUCGAUGAAGAACGCAGCGAAAUGCGAUAAGUAGUGUGAAUUGCAGAAUUCAGUGAAUCAUCGAAUCUUUGAACGCACAUUGCGCCCCUUGGUAUUCCAUGGGGCAUGCCUGUUCGAGCGUCAUUUGUACCUUCAAGCUCUGCUUGGUGUUGGGUGUUUGUCUCGCCUCUGCGUGUAGACUCGCCUCAAAACAAUUGGCAGCCGGCGUAUUGAUUUCGGAGCGCAGUACAUCUCGCGCUUUGCACUCAUAACGACGACGUCCAAAAGUACAUUUUUACACUCUUGACCUCGGAUCAGGUAGGGAUACCCGCUGAACCUAAGCAUAUC